CCUACGGGAGGCAGCAGUGGGGGAUAUUGCACAAUGGGGGAAACCCUGAUGCAGCGACGCCGCGUGAGUGAAGAAGUAUUUCGGUAUGUAAAGCUCUAUCAGCAGGGAAGAAAAUGACAGUACCUGACCAUGAAGCCCCGGCUAACUACGUGCCAGCAGCCGCGGUAAUACGUAGGGGGCAAGCGUUAUCCGGAUUUACUGGGUGUAAAGGGAGCGUAGACGGUUAUGUAAGUCUGGAGUGAAAGCCCGGGGCCCAACCCCGGGACUGCUUUGGAGACUGUGUGACUGGAGUGCAGGAGGGGCAGGCGGAAUUCCUGGUGUAGCGGUGAAAUGCGUAGAUAUCAGGAGGAACACCGGCGGCGAAGGCGGCCUGCUGGACUGAAACUGACGUUGAGGCUCGAAAGCGUGGGGAGCAAACAGGAUUAGAUACCCGUGUAGUC
rnacentral:rRNA from 1 species